rnacentral:rRNA from 2 species
AGCGGCAACAGCUCAAAUUUGAAAUCUGGCUCUCGGGCCCGAGUUGUAAUUUGUAGAGGAUGCUUUUGGUGCGGUGCCUUCCGAGUUCCCUGGAACGGGACGCCAUAGAGGGUGAGAGCCCCGUCUGGUUGGACGCCAAUCCUCUGUAAAGCUCCUUCGACGAGUCGAGUAGUUUGGGAAUGCUGCUCUAAAUGGGAGGUAUAUGUCUUCUAAAGCUAAAUACCGGCCAGAGACCGAUAGCGCACAAGUAGAGUGAUCGAAAGAUGAAAAGAACUUUGAAAAGAGAGUUAAAAAGUACGUGAAAUUGUUGAAAGGGAAGCGCUUGUGACCAGACUUGGGCUUGGUUGAUCAUCCAGGGUUCUCCCUGGUGCACUCUUCCGGCCCAGGCCAGCAUCAGUUCGCCCCGGGGGAAAAAGGCUUCGGGAAUGUGGCUCUCUCCGGGGAGUGUUAUAGCCCGCUGCGUAAUACCCUGUGGCGGACUGAGGUUCGCGCAUUCGCAAGGAUGCUGGCGUAAUGGUCAUCAGUGACCCGUCUUGAAACACGGACCAAGGAGUCGUCUUCGUAUGCGAGUGUUCGGGUGUCAAACCCCUACGCGAAAUGAAAGUGAACGCAGGUGAGAGCUUCGGCGCAUCAUCGACCGAUCCUGAUGUUUUCGGAUGGAUUUGAGUAAGAGCAUACGGGGCCGGACCCGAAAGAAGGUGAACUAUGCCUGUGUAGGGUGAAGCCAGAGGAAACUCUGGUGGAGGCUCGCAGCGGUUCUGACGUGCAAAUCGAUCGUCAAACAUGGGCAUGGGGGCGAAAGACUAAUCGAAC